AUGGACAGUCGACGAGGCUCCUCCUCUCGCCCUUCCAGCCCCCAGCCUGGAGAUUGGGAGAGAUGCUCUGUCCCGCACAUCAAGUUAGUGGCGCUCCAAACCAAGGGAUUUCUUCCCCCAGCCUUCAUGGUUCCGGUUCGAGCCGGACUCACCACCUAUGUGGGCGGAAAGGAAGCGGAGAGCGUCCCCAGCCCCUCCAAAGGAGAGCGGGUGUGCCUAGUCUCUUAUUUGAUAAGAGGGCUCGGAUUUCCAAUUCAUCCAUUUCUACGGGGGCUCCUGGAGUUCUACGGCCUCCGGUUGCACAACCUUACGCCUGCCUCUAUUCUGCAUAUUGCGGGCUUCGUGGCCCUUUGCGAGCUGUUUUUGGGCAUCGAGGCUCAUUUUGCGCAGUGGGAGAAGCUGUUCUGCCUUGUACCCCAUUCUCUAGAGGGGUCAAUAUAUCAAGUGGGCGGAGCCGAGCUAUGGCGCAUUGCCGGGACCGGAUAUCUACCCGGAACCCCGAAGAAGGCGUCCGAAGACUGGCCUUCGGAGUGGUUUUAUAUAGAAGAUGUCCCCCUGCCGGACCCUGUUCGGAUCGACCACCCUGAGUUCAAUAAUGCUCCUUUGAAGAAACGCCUAAGCUGGCGUCCACGGAGCCCUCAGAAGGAAAAUGACAGGGAUGUCCUUUACCUGAUGAGCCGGAUAAGGUUGUUGGCUCAUUCCGGACUGAUCAUGAUCGGGGUCAUGGCCACAUGCAUUAUGCGGGGGGUGCAGCCGCUCCAGUAUAGAGGCCACCCCAUGUGGGAUUUCAACGGGGAGGACGAUGCCACCCGCUGCGGCCGUAAGGGGCCGGGAUCGGUGGCCGAUCUGGUGAAGAUCUUGUCCGUGUUAUACAAGGGAGAAGAGGAGGAAUUUCUCCGCAUCAAUCCACAGAACGAAUUUUCUAUGCACAAUCCCCCGAGCUGGGAACUGCGCCAGGCCGUAAGGACAUAA
rnacentral:rRNA from 1 species